rnacentral:rRNA from 1 species
UACGUAGGGGGCAAGCGUUGUCCGGAAUCAUUGGGCGUAAAGAGCGUGUAGGCGGCUCGAUAAGUCUGCUGUGAAAGUCCAGGGCUCAACCCUGGAAGGCCGGUGGAAACUGUCGGGCUAGAGUCCGGAAGAGGCGAGUGGAAUUCCCGGUGUAGCGGUGAAAUGCGCAGAUAUCGGGAGGAACACCAAUGGCGAAGGCAGCUCACUGGGACGGUAUUGACGCUGAGACGCGAAAGCGUGGGGAGCAAACAGG